rnacentral:lncRNA from 1 species
AUGCCGAUUGCUAGAGGGCGUCCACCCGUCUUCAAGACGCCGUCAGCCAAUGAGGCAGAGAGGGAGAGAGUUGAUGUUGUCUCCAUCAUGGGCACCGCGCCAUUGUCGUUGGCUGGUGGCCCUUGGUCCACCGCCAUUGGGCCUGCACGAGGCGCCCCAGGCGAGACCGCGCACAGCCGAGGUAGACUGUUCCUUUGCGAUGGCCCAACAUGCGAGGGUGGCCCAAGUACAGGGGCGGCCCAACAGGUGGCCCGAGGAGUGAAGAUGGCCCAGAGAGCAGAGCCAACCCAAGGAGAGAGAACGGCCCAUCAGGUGGAGAUAGCCGAGAAGAGCCAGCGGCUCAGCAGGUGGAGGCGGCCCAAGGAGAGGUGGAGGCUGAGGGAGUGGGGAAGCUGCUUCUCGAAGCCCGGUCUCGACUCACAUGGGAUCCGGUGUGGCACUAGAGACAAUGGUCGGUGCCACGUGUCGGCUCGCCAUUGCCUCCUCAUGGGGAAGACCCUGGUCAAAAGAAGGAAAUGGAAAAACCUCCCAUUUUUAGCACCAGGCAAGCCGCCGGCCAGGGCGAAUCUAGAGCACAGAGAACCCGAGUGCACACUUAAUUUACACAAGGCACUCAGGGGUUGUAGCUGUUGGGCAUUUGGGCAGUUCGGGCUGCACGUAAGCAAUUUGGCCUUCAUGAGCUGCCUGCAGCCUGCAGGCUGCUGUGUAGCUGAAGUUGGUACGAGUAUUUUUUUUUCUAGAGUACACAAAAGGUGGUGAAAAUUACGAC